UAGUCCACGCCCUAAACGAUGCUUACUCGGCAUUGGCGAUACACUGUCAGUGCCUAAGGGAAACCACUAAGUAAGCCACCUGGGGAGUACGUUCGCAAGAAUGAAACUCAAAGGAAUUGACGGGGGUCCGUACAAGCGGUGGAGCAUGUGGUUUAAUUCGAUGAUACGCGAGGAACCUUACCAGGGCUUAAAUGUGGUCUGACAGCUUUAGAGAUAGAGUUUUCUUCGGACAGAUCACAAGGUGCUGCAUGGUUGUCGUCAGCUCGUGCCGUGAGGUGUCAGGUUAAGUCCUAUAACGAGCGCAACCCCUGUGGUUAGUUGCCAGCGAGUAAUGUCGGGAACUCUAGCCAGACUGCCGGUGCAAACCGCGAGGAAGGUGGGGAUGACGUCAAGUCCUCAUGGCCUUUAUGCCUAGGGCUGCACACGUCCUACAAUGCAACGUACAAAGCGACGCUAAAUCGCGAGAUCACGCAAACCGCAUAAAACGUUGCUC
rnacentral:rRNA from 1 species